rnacentral:rRNA from 1 species
AGUGAACGCUGGCGGUAGGCCUAACACAUGCAAGUCGAACGGCAGCACAGUAAGAGCUUGCUCUUACGGGUGGCGAGUGGCGGACGGGUGAGGAAUACAUCGGAAUCUACUUUUUCGUGGGGGAUAACGUAGGGAAACUUACGCUAAUACCGCAUACGACCUACGGGUGAAAGCAGGGGAUCUUCGGACCUUGCGCGAUUGAAUGAGCCGAUGUCGGAUUAGCUAGUUGGCGGGGUAAAGGCCCACCAAGGCGACGAUCCGUAGCUGGUCUGAGAGGAUGAUCAGCCACACUGGAACUGAGACACGGUCCAGACUCCUACGGGAGGCAGCAGUGGGGAAUACUGGACAAUGGGGGCAAGCCUGAUCCAGCCAUACCGCGUGAGUGAAGAAGGCCUUCGGGUUGGAAAGCCCUUUUGUUGGGAAAGAAAAGCAGCAGGUUAAUACCCCGCUGUUCUGACGGUACCCAAAGAAUAAGCACCGGCUAACUUCGUG